CACCCACUGCCAGCCUCUCUCCCCCAUAUACACAUAACACAGCCUCAGAAAACAAAAAAGGAAAGAAAAAAAACGGGGAUUAAGGGAGACGAGAAAAAGAAGGUUGCGAUCGGAGAGGAGAGAGUGCUGCGAGCCAGGGACAAUGCGAGGAAGGAGAGGAGCCGUCGCGCUCGGCCGCUACCAGCUCUGUCGCAUCCUGCGCCGCGCCAUUGCUGCCCAGACCGCGUCCGUUUCGUUCAGCCACCGCCGCUGCCGUCAUGUGGGUGAGAGGGAGAAGCUGAGAAAGGCUCAGCCACGAGAACCAGAGGCGCGUGAGAGAGGGAAGACGCGAUCGACGAAGGGAAGGGAAAAGGAUUUCACCACCGCGGUGUCCUGCCACCACUGCUGCCUCCAAUCGGAGCCCUAGCCACCGGAGCCCCUACGUCACCAUUGCAUGUGGGAGGAGGAGAUGAUGUUGCCGAUUCUGAUUCUGCGCAAGUCACUCAUCGUCAUUGGAAUCAUGAACCAGAGGCGGAAGGAGGCGUUCCUCCAUCGCGAGCCAGCCACCAAGCUAUGACCAAAUUGGAGACAUUGUUUCUAUUACCUUCCGUUUUAGUAAGCUUAUGAAGAAAUUGCCUUGUAUCACCUUGCUCUGCAAUUGUUUCUGAUUCAUUUAGUUUUUCAGAGUCAUUAUUGUCAUUGUUCGGCGUUACCGCCCUUGUCUAGAGCUAUUGAAUGUUUUUGCUGCGAGAAUAUUACUAGAAUCGCUGCUGCUGCCACGAAUUGGGGAUAAAGGGGAUUCCUGCGUCAAAUCUUGCUAUUGCGACAUUGAGCUGCCAAGACUCAGAAAAAGGCAAGGGCUGGAAGCGAUUUGAGUUUGACAAGGAUGCGCCUCUUGAAGAUGAGGAAAUUGAAGUGGCUGAAGAUGAUACUUCCUUGGUCAAGCAAAUUGGCCAGAGUUUCUAGUAUUCUAAAAUAGAGGUAUAUUCCUCUUCUUAUAUUUAUGAAUAGUCAGUUUUGUUCCUUGUUAACAUACAUGCAUCAUCUAUGUAUGGAAGACUAAACAUAGAUCGAAUCCAUUUUCUUAUCAAGGAAAGAAGGGAGGAACAAAUCCAAGCUGCUCAUGACGAAGCCAUGCUUGGUACUUCAGCACUUCCACCUCCUACCAGUACUUACAGUGAGCCUGAAAGGGAGAAUGAGAAAGAAGUUGAUAAAAAAGCUGUUGUUACAAGCCUCUUAAGUGAAACGGAGUGCUGAAAUGGUGACCAUAUGCUACCUUGAGAGCUCAAGAAUAUUUUGAUGCAUAGAGACACUAAUCUAUGUUAGAACUUUUAACUUUUGGUUGAACUUAUGCAAGACAUAUAACUUGUAGAACUAAUCAAUGUACU